UACGGAGGGGGCUAGCGUUAUUCGGAAUUACUGGGCGUAAAGCGCGUGUAGGCGGCCCUGCAAGUCGGGUGUGAAAUCCCACGGCUCAACCGUGGAAGUGCACUCGAAACUGCAGGGCUAGAGUCCUGGAGAGGAAGGUGGAAUGCUUGGUGUAGAGGUGAAAUUCGUAGAUAUCAAGCGGAACACCGGUGGCGAAGGCGGCCUUCUGGACAGUGACUGACGCUGAGACGGCG
rnacentral:rRNA from 1 species